rnacentral:rRNA from 1 species
UACGGGGGGAGCAAGCGUUGUUCGGAUUUACUGGGCGUAAAGGGCGCGUAGGCGGUCGUGACAAGUCACUUGUGAAAUCUCCGGGCUUAACUCGGAACGGUCAAGUGAUACUGUCGGACUAGAGUACAGAAGGGGCAACUGGAAUUCUCGGUGUAGCGGUGAAAUGCGUAGAUAUCGAGAGGAACACCAGUGGCGAAGGCGAGUCUCUGGACAUUUCCUGACGCUGAGGCACGAAAGCCAGAGGAGCAAACGGG